rnacentral:piRNA from 1 species
UUUCCUCGGACUCUUGACUAC